rnacentral:rRNA from 1 species
GAUGAACGCUGGCGGCGUGCCUAAUACAUGCAAGUCGGGCGAACGGACGAGAAGCUUGCUUUUCUGAUGUUAGCGGCGGACGGGUGAGUAACACGUGGAUAACCUACCUAUAAGACUGGGGUAACUUCGGGAAACCGGAGCUAAUACCGGAUAAUAUUUUGAACCGCAUGGUUCAAAAGUGAAAGACGGUCUUGCUGUCAUUUAUAGAUGGAUCCGCGCUGCAUUAGCUAGUUGGUAAGGUAACGGCUUACCAAGGCAACGAUGCAUAGCCGACCUGAGAGGGUGAUCGGCCACACUGGAACUGAGACACGGUCCAGACUCCUACGGGAGGCAGCAGUAGGGAAUCUUCCGCAAUGGGCGAAAGCCUGACGGAGCAACGCCGCGUGAGUGAUGAAGGUCUUCGGAUCGUAAAACUCUGUUAUUAGGGAAGAACAUAUGUGUAAGUAACUGUGCACAUCUUGACGGUACCUAAUCAGAAAGCCACGGCUAACUACGUG